GGGGCUGACUUGGAUUUCGACAGAUUUCUUGUCGCACAGAUAGCAUGCCAAGUGCUACUUGUAAAACAGCAACAAAAAUAACUGUAAACAACACAGAUUACGCUCCAGCUUACGCUAAAGCUGCGUGAGUUAAUCUCCUUUGGAGCUGGACUGAUUAGAAUUUCUAGCGUUUUAAUCACUCCAUAACCUUAAGCUAGACGCUUUUAAAAGGUGGUUCGCCUUUUAAACUAAGAAACAAGAACUCUUGAAACUACCUCAAGGUUUUAGAAAGUUGGACCAGAGCUAGUUUUAAGGCUAAAAAGCUAACCAAUUUUCUAAGCAUUGUAGAAGUUUGUGUUUAGGACAAGAUUUUUGGACUGGGGUUCGAUUCCCCACAGCUCCACCA
rnacentral:tmRNA from 1 species